rnacentral:rRNA from 1 species
UACGGAAGGCAGCAGUGGGGAAUAUUGCACAAUGGGCGAAAGCCUGAUGCAGCUAUGCCGCGUGUAUGAAGAAGGCCUUAGGGUUGUAAAGUACUUUCAUCGGGGAGGAAAAAACAAAACUAAUAAUUUUAUUUCUUGACGUUACCCGAAAAAGAAGCACCGGCUAACUCCGUGCCAGCAGCCGCGGUAAUACGGAGGGUGCUAGCGUUAAUCAGAAUUACUGGGCGUAAAGAGCACGUAGGUGGUUUUUUUAAGUCAGAUGUGAAUCCCUGGGCUUAACCUAGGAACUGCAUUUUGAAACUGAAAUACUAGAGUAUCGUAGAGGGAGGUAGAAUUCUAGGUGUAGCGGUGAAAUGCGUAGAUAUCUGGAGGAAUACCUGUGGCGAAAGCGGCCUCCUAAACCGAAUACUGACACUGAGGUGCGAAAGCGUGGGGAGCAAACAGGGAUUAGAUACC